rnacentral:rRNA from 1 species
UACGGAGGGUGCAAGCGUUAUCCGGAUUCACUGGGUUUAAAGGGUGUGUAGGCGGGCUUGUAAGUCAGGGGUGAAAUCCUACAGCUUAACUGUAGAACUGCCUUUGAUACUAUAAGUCUUGAAUAUUGUUGAGGUAGGCGGAAUACAUCAUGUAGCGGUGAAAUGCUUAGAUAUGAUGUAGAACACCGAUUGCGAAGGCAGCUUACUAAGCAAAUAUUGACGCUGAGGCACGAAAGCGUGGGGAUCAAACAGG